rnacentral:rRNA from 1 species
AUUGAACGCUGGCGGCAGGCCUAACACAUGCAAGUCGAGCGGAGCGGCGGACGGGUGAGUGAUGCCUAGGAAUCUGCCUGUUAGUGGGGGAUAACGUCCGGAACCGGGCGCUAAUCCCGCAUCCUAUCAGAUGCGCCUAGGUCUGAUUAGCUUGUUGGUGGGGUAAAGGCCUACCAAGGCGACGCUCCGUAACUGGUCUGAGAGGAUGAUGAGUCACACUGGAACUGAGACACGGUCCAGACUCCUACGGGAGGCAGCAGUGGGGAAUAUUGGACAAUGGGCGAAAGCCUGAUCCAGCCAUGCCGCGUGUGUGAAGAAGGUCUUCGGAUUGUAAAGCACUUUAAGUUGGGAGGCGUUACCAACAGAAUAAGCACCGGCUAACUUCGUGCCAGCAGCCGCGGUAAUUC